UACGAAGGGGGCUAGCGUUGUUCGGAAUUACUGGGCGUAAAGCGUGCGCAGGCGGCUUCUCAAGUCAGGGGUGAAAGCCCAGAGCUCAACUCUGGAAUUGCCUUUGAGACUGAGUGGCUUGAGUACGAGAGAGGUGAGUGGAAUUCCCAGUGUAGAGGUGAAAUUCGUAGAUAUUGGGAAGAACACCGGUGGCGAAGGCGGCUACACGUGGCUCGGUAACUGACGCUCAUGCACGACAGCGUGGGGAUCAAACAGG
rnacentral:rRNA from 1 species